rnacentral:snoRNA from 1 species
UGCAAGGGAUGUGAAAGUGUUUCUUACCUGGAAGACGGUGAGGAGAUUUUAAACCACCAAGAUCGCUGAUGCA